GGUGGGAUGCCGGAGUGGUUGAUCGGGGCGCUCUCGAAAAGCGCUGUCCCGAAAUUUUCGGGACCGGGGGUUCGAAUCCCUCUCCCACCG
rnacentral:tRNA from 1 species